rnacentral:rRNA from 1 species
GUUGACCUCGGAUCAGGUAGGGAUACCCGCUGAACUUAAGCAUAUCAAUAAGGC